rnacentral:rRNA from 1 species
UACGGGGGGGGCAAGCGUUGUUCGGAAUUACUGGGCGUAAAGGGCUCGUAGGUGGCCAACUAAGUCAGACGUGAAAUCCCUCGGCUUAACCGGGGAACUGCGUCGGAUACUGGAUGGCUUGAAUUCGGGAGAGGGAUGCAGGAAUUCCAGGUGUAGCGGUGAAAUGCGUAGAUAUCUGGAGGAAUACCGGUGGCGAAGGCGGCAUCCUGGACCGACAUUGACGCUGAACGGCGAAAGCUAGGGGAGCGAAACGGG